rnacentral:rRNA from 1 species
UACGGAGGGGGCUAGCGUUGUUCGGAAUUACUGGGCGUAAAGAGCUUGUAGGCGGUUUGUCGCGUCGUCUGUGAAAACUCACCGCUCAACUGUGAGCUUGCAGGCGAUACGGGCAGACUUGAGUACUGCAGGGGAGACUGGAAUUCCUGGUGUAGCGGUGAAAUGCGCAGAUAUCAGGAGGAACACCGGUGGCGAAGGCGGGUCUCUGGGCAGUAACUGACGCUGAGAAGCGAAAGCGUCGGUAGCGAACAGG